rnacentral:rRNA from 1 species
UGAACCUGCGGAAGGAUCAUUACCGUGCUGUUGCACAA